CGAACGGGUGAGUAACGCGUGAGGAACCUGCCUCAAAGAGGGGGACAACAGUUGGAAACGACUGCUAAUACCGCAUAAGCCCACAGGUCGGCAUCGACCAGAGGGAAAAGGAGCAAUCCGCUUUGAGAUGGCCUCGCGUCCGAUUAGCUAGUUGGUGAGGUAAUGGCCCACCAAGGCAACGAUCGGUAGCCGGACUGAGAGGUUGAACGGCCACAUUGGGACUGAGACACGGCCCAG
rnacentral:rRNA from 1 species